GAUGAACGCCGGCGGCGUGCCUAAUACAUGCAAGUCGGGCGAACGGACGAGAAGCUUGCUUCUCUGAUGUUAGCGGCGGACGGGUGAGUAACACGUGGAUAACCUACCUAUAAGACUGGGAUAACUUCGGGAAACCGGAGCUAAUACCGGAUAAUAUUUUGAACCGCAUGGUUCAAAAGUGAAAGACGGUCUUGCUGUCACUUAUAGAUGGAUCCGCGCUGCAUUAGCUAGUUGGUAAGGUAACGGCUUACCAAGGCAACGAUGCAUAGCCGACCUGAGAGGGUGAUCGGCCACACUGGAACUGAGACACGGUCCAGACUCCUACGGGAGGCAGCAGUAGGGAAUCUUCCGCAAUGGGCGAAAGCCUGACGGAGCAACGCCGCGUGAGUGAUGAAGGUCUUCGGAUCGUAAAACUCUGUUAUUAGGGAAGAACAUAUGUGUAAGUAACUGUGCACAUCUUGACGGUACCUAAUCAGAAAGCCACGGCUAACUACGUG
rnacentral:rRNA from 1 species